rnacentral:rRNA from 1 species
GACGAACGCUGGCGGCGUGCUUAACACAUGCAAGUCGAACGGAAAGGCCCUGCUUUUGUGGGGUGCUCGAGUGGCGAACGGGUGAGUAACACGUGAGUAACCUGUCCUUGACUUUGGGAUAACUUCAGGAAACUGGGGCUAAUACCGGAUAGGAGCUCCUGCUGCAUGGUGGGGGUUGGAAAGUUUCGGCGGUUGGGGAUGGAGUCGAGGCUUAUCAGCUUGUUGGUGAGGUAGUGGCUUACCAAGGCUUUGACGGGUAGCCGGCCUGAGAGGGUGACCGGCCACAUUGGGAUUGAGAGACGACCCAGACGCCUACGGGAGGCAGCAGUGGAGAAUAUUGCGCAAUGGGCGGCAUGCGGAUGCAGCAACGCCGCGUGGGGGAUGACUGCCUUCGGGUAGUAACACGCUUGCGCCUGUGACGAAGCGUGAGUGACGGUAAUAGGUAAAGAAGCACCGGCUACCUACGU